UUGUCUCAAAGAUUAAGCCAUGCAUGUCUCAGUACAAGCCAAAUUAAGGUGAAACCGCGAAAGGCUCAUUAAAUCAGUUAUGGUUCCUUAGAUCGUACCCACAUUUACUUGGAUAACUGUGGUAAUUCUAGAGCUAAUACAUGCAAACAGAGCUCCGACCGGAGACGGAAGGAACGCUUUUAUUAGAUCAAAACCAAUCGGUGGCAGUUUAUCUGUCAUCGUACAAUUUGGUGACUCUGAAUAACUUUACGCUGAUCGCACGGUCUUGCACCGGCGACGCAUCUUUCAAAUGUCUGCCUUAUCAACUGUCGAUGGUAGGUUCUGCGCCUACCAUGGUUGUAACGGGUAACGGGGAAUCAGGGUUCGAUUCCGGAGAGGGAGCCUGAGAAACGGCUACCACAUCCAAGGAAGGCAGCAGGCGCGCAAAUUACCCACUCCCGGCACGGGGAGGUAGUGACGAAAAAUAACGAUACGGGACUCAUCCGAGGCCCCGUAAUCGGAAUGAGUACACUCUAAACCCUUUAACGAGGAUCAAUUGGAGGGCAAGUCUGGUGCCAGCAGCCGCGGUAAUUCCAGCUCCAAUAGCGUAUAUUAAAGUUGUUGCGGUUAAAAAGCUCGUAGUCGAAUCUGUGUUUCGCACCGCUGGUUCAUCGUUCGCGGUGUUAACUGGCGUGCCGCGAGACGUCCUGCCGGUGGGCUUAGCUCGCAAGGGCGGCCCAACUCAAUCCUGCCGCGGUGCUCUUCAUUGAGUGUCGAGGUGGGCCGGCACGUUUACUUUGAACAAAUUAAAGUGCUUAAAGCAGGCUAAAACUUUGCCUGAAUACUGUGUGCAUGGAAUAAUGGAAUAGGACCUCGGUUCUAUUUUGUUGGUUUUCGGAACCCCGAGGUAAUGAUUAAUAGGAACGGAUGGGGGCAUUCGUAUUGCGACGUUAGAGGUGAAAUUCUUGGAUCGUCGCAAGACGGACAGAAGCGAAAGCAUUUGCCAAAAACGCUUUCAUUGAUCAAGAACGAAAGUUAGAGGUUCGAAGGCGAUCAGAUACCGCCCUAGUUCUAACCAUAAACGAUGCCAGCUAGCGAUCCGCCGACGUUCCUCCGAUGACUCGGCGGGCAGCUUCCGGGAAACCAAAGCUUUUGGGUUCCGGGGGAAGUAUGGUUGCAAAGCUGAAACUUAAAGGAAUUGACGGAAGGGCACCACCAGGAGUGGAGCCUGCGGCUUAAUU
rnacentral:rRNA from 1 species